AUGAAAAUUGUUUAUGAGGUUAAUCUACAACCAGCUGUAUCCUGGUAUUUUCCACAUCGUUCUAUGUUCCUUCUUUUUUUUUUAAUUGUUUGGAUUGCUUACCAUGUGUGUGACCUGGUUUUCUAUUCCCCUUCUCAACCUCACCCUGGAGCCUCACGGCCAAAAAGAAAAAAAGAAAAGACUCAUCGUCGACCCGGGCAUACCCGAGCCCUGGUAGGUUUGGCUCUCCUCCCUCGGGCGGCGGCGGCGGCGGCGGCGGCUGAAUCUCCUGCCACCGGAGUCCCUUCUCUUUACCGGCCGGUGGAUUGGCUCCACCCUCCCUCCCAAAUCCCCCGCCCCCGAUCUUCCUCCUCCUCCGCGCCCUACAUCGCCCCCGGCGCCUGAGCACACGGACGCCGUCCUCCUCCUCGCCUACGACGCCGCCGCCCCCUACCUCCUUCAUCCAACGCCGCCUACCGCCCUGCUUCACUUCCGACACCGCUGGCCCGCCCUGCUUCGCCUCCGAAUCCAAGUAUAGGGUCAGUGGCCCAGCUUCUGCAAAUGCUUCAAGGCAGCGGCAUCUCCAACCAGAAGACCUUGUAUGAAGUUCUAUCUGUGCCUGAAGAUGCUACAUAUGACGAGAUACGUGCAGCAUACAAGUGUGCUGCUUUAAACACACAUCCUGACAAAGCACAGGCGACUCUCGAACCAUCUGUGUCUACCGGCGAGCAACAUGGUUUUUUCAGUGUACAGAAGGCAUGGGAAACCCUACGCUACCCCAAAUGUCGAGCAGAGUAUGAUAAACAACUACAAUCGUCCAGACAGAGCCUUGAUGUCAUCGCAACCGAUAUCGAAAUCGAGGAUAUGAUCAUUGAAAGCUCUGGCGAUGGCGUUGAGCUAUUGUACGCCUGUAGAUGCGGCGAUUAUUUUUCGAUCACAGCCUGCGAACUUGGUGAAAUGGGAAUUUCGGUGAGUGAAGAUGGGGAAAUAGAAGCGCAGGCACCUGAUUCUUUACCAACGUCUGUUGUUCUGGGCUGUGGCUCAUGUUCUCUUAAAACAAGGCUGAUUAUAAAUAAAGCUUGAUUCGUUGUACUGAUUUGAACACCUUCUACCCUGCUUUUUUGAAGCACCUCCGAUCAUGGUCGACAUAGCGUGUACUGCUGGCACUGGCAUAUUCACUCCUCUGUACCUGAGCUCCUGAUGGUUGUAUUGAGAUGAUGAUGUUUUUGACCAUUGUGCUCAGCUAACCGCCUUUGUCGAUUCAAGUCGCUGUGGGUUGUUAUCUGUACGUCUCAUUCCGUUAAUUUUGCUUAUUAUUGGCUAUGACUUGAUGCUCCCUCACCUGUCGCUGGUUCUGAUGUUCACAUGUACGACAGCUGAGGUGAAUGCUUGCUGC
rnacentral:rRNA from 1 species